rnacentral:rRNA from 1 species
UACGUAGGGUGCAAGCGUUGUCCGGAAUUAUUGGGCGUAAAGAGCUCGUAGGCGGUUUGUCGCGUCUGCUGUGAAAACCCGAGGCUCAACCUCGGGCCUGCAGUGGGUACGGGCAGACUAGAGUGCGGUAGGGGAGAUUGGAAUUCCUGGUGUAGCGGUGGAAUGCGCAGAUAUCAGGAAGAACACCAACGGCGAAGGCAGCUCGCUAGGACGGUACUGACGCUGAGACGCGAAAGCGUGGGGAGCAAACAGG